GUCUAAGUAUAAGCAAUUAUACAGCGAAACUGCGAAUGGCUCAUUAAAUCAGUUAUCGUUUAUUUGAUAGUACCUUACUACAUGGAUAACCGUGGUAAUUCUAGAGCUAAUACAUGCUGAAAACCCCGACUUCGGAAGGGGUGUAUUUAUUAGAUUAAAAACCAAUGCCCUUCGGGGCUCACUGGUGAUUCAUGAUAACUUCUCGAAUCGCACGGCCUUGCGCCGGCGAUGGUUCAUUCAAAUUUCUGCCCUAUCAACUUUCGACGGCUGGGUCUUGGCCAGCCGUGGUGACAACGGGUAACGGAGGGUUAGGGCUCGACCCCGGAGAAAACGCCUGAGAAACGGCGUUUACAUCCAAGGAAGGCAGCAGGCGCGCAAAUUACCCAAUGCCGACACGGCGAGGUAGUGACGAGAAAUACUGAUACAGGGCUCUUUUGGGUCUUGUAAUUGGAAUGAGUACAAUUUAAAUCUCUUAACGAGGAACAAUUGGAGGGCAAGUCUGGUGCCAGCAGCCGCGGUAAUUCCAGCUCCAAUAGCGUAUAUUAAAGUUGUUGCAGUUAAAAAGCUCGUAGUUGAACCUUGGGCCUGGCUGGCCGGUCCGCCUCACCGCGUGCACUGGUCCGGCCGGGCCUUUCCCUCUGGGGAGCCCCAUGCCCUUUACUGGGCGUGGCGGGGAACCAGGACUUUUACUUUGAAAAAAUUAGAGUGUUCAAAGCAGGCCUAUGCUCGAAUACAUUAGCAUGGAAUAAUAGAAUAGGACGUGUGGUUCUAUUUUGUUGGUUUCUAGGACCGCCGUAAUGAUUAAUAGGGACAGUCGGGGGCGUCAGUAUUCAAUUGUCAGAGGUGAAAUUCUUGGAUUUAUUGAAGACUAACUACUGCGAAAGCAU
rnacentral:rRNA from 2 species